CCUUGAGCAACCACUUAUUGCCUUGUGCCUCAGUUCCCACCCACCCCUCUAAAAUAACGCUAAUGAUACUAUUUUCCCUGUCCUUUAAACAGGGCCAUGUCAUAUUCUACUGACACAAUUGCAAAUGCAUUUGAUGAGACUAACAUGGAUGGAACUCUAAAAGCUCCUUCACAUCUCCAGAACUCCAGCUGCUACCCUCUGACCUGCAGUAGAACUGAUGCCUUGAAAGAACCACCUGACUUCUCAACUCCAUAGCUCUAAUACCAAAAAACACCCUUGAUCACAGCUCCUUUUUCCUAACCUUUAAAGAGAUUACAGACAAAAUUUUCAAAAUUACCUAUAUGAUUUAGGACCUUAAAUCCCACUGUCUUUCCAUGAGAAAUGGUUCCUAAAUCACAUUUGAAAAUGAGAUUUAGGCCCCUACAUCACUUACACACAUUAGAAAAGAGA